GCUCCCGGGGGACCCGUGUCCUGAUCCAGCGGCUUAUGCAACACCAGACUGCAGCCAGAGCACGUCUGAGAAAAGGAAAUCACUGACUUCAUGGCGUUUCCAUGAAACCUAUUAACCCUGGGCUCUCACAUUCUGAAUACAAGCCUUUGUUACUCGUUGCUGUCGCUGCAUGGAAAUGGACUAUGGGGUCAUCUCCCCCAGGGGACCAUGCAUUUCUCAUCAAGCAUAAUUACUGGGAAACAACUGGCACCCUUCCUCUGCAGUCCCAAACAUUGCCAGGUCCCCUGCCAUCUUCUCUAGAGGCUACCUGGCUUCUGCCUUCCUCCAAAUUACGUCAGAGGCUUGGAGCUGUGUUUUCCAAUCAAGCCUUGGAGUUGUAAAAAUCUGACCACCAGUGAAAUGUACCAGAGAGUCAGCAGUGCCUGUCCAAGGCACACAGUUUACGUUGCAGAGAAAGGAAUCCUGUGGAACUGAGCCGGUGCAUUUAAUGCCCAUCAGAAUCCAUGAUGAGAAACAUUUUUAUAUUCUCCAGGGAACGUCCCCAAGGUCCCAUCGAAUGAGCUGGUGGGACCAUUUACCUUUUGCAUUUUUAAAAAACUGUCUUAUUGAGGUAUGAUCAACGUAUAAAAAGCUGUAGGUACUUCAUGUCUACAACCUGAUGUGUUUGGAGGUAAGUAUACACCAUGAAGCUAUCAUCACAAUCAGUGCCAUAAACAAAUCUAUCGCUUCCAGAAGUUUCCUUCUGUCCCCUAUUUUGUUUGUGUUGUUCUGUUUAUUACCACUCACUAUUUACUUCUGGCAUGCUUUCUUUCAAUGUCCAUCAAUCCUCAUGGGCUUUGUUUGGUUCUUUCUUGGUCUGAAGGGGGUGGACGUUUCAAUCCGGUCUAGUCUGGAUACUGAUUGAUGACAUUCUUCCAGUUCACUGGAAUCUUCAAGCCGUAAAAUACUUUAAGGAUCUCUUUUUCCACACAGGGCCAGGAAGCAUCUUGGCCUCUCAGACAAUUUGACAGAAAAUUUCAAACUCCCAAAACACAAACACUGGAAGGCACCCUAGAGAUUACAUGGUCCUAUUCUCUUAUUGGACUGAUAACAACCUGAGCUAUUUGCCCAAAUAAGGAUCAUUCUCUAGAAACGAUUUUUUAAAAGCAAUAAAACAAAACCCAAAGCAAACCAAUAGAAAGAGAGGGACCAAGCAUCUUUUCCCGGGCUCCUGUUGGUACCCUUCAAACACUGGCAGGAAGGCAUUAGGAAAGCUGAGUCAACAACACAGAAUCAGGGCCGCCACCAGAAAGUUAGGGUCCAACCUGAUUAUUAUAUUCCCAGCUAAGAAAGUCAGGUCUAGUGCCAAAAACAAUUAGUGCCUUUCCCGGAGCUCUGCCUCCAAAUAUGGUGCCUGGAGAGCUAGUCCUAUCUCAUGGAAGCAUUAUACCGCACAUCAUCUAAGGAGGCUCAAGUGAUGUUCACCCCAGAACUGAUGAUAAAAUACCGAUCAAACACUGAUCAAACCUCUUUAGAGGCUCUUUAAAGCCAAGCUGCAAUCGGAGACGGUAUCUGGCAGAGUUUCCAGACUGAGAGCACGUGCCAAGCAUAAUUGAAUGAGAGUAUGAUCAACAGUGAUGGACCACGGACAGACUGCAAUGCUGUUAGAACAAGAUUCCCAGCCAUUCUGGAAUUAUGGGGAGAUACUGAGAGGUCCAGCUGCAAGCCCUGAAUGCUGACAUCCCAGCUUAUAUCCUGCUCCUUUUCCCUUAAACAACAACAACAAUAAAAAUCGGUUUCAAUCUGGUC
rnacentral:lncRNA from 1 species